rnacentral:rRNA from 1 species
UCCGUGCCCCAGAGCGGCUCCUGCGGUCGGCUGGGGGUGCCUUCUUGGAGGUUCCCCACGUAAAGCGGGGUGGGCACAAUGGAGAGGGCAUUCUCAGUGGCCAGGCCGCACAUUUUGGAACUCCCUUCUGGAGGAAGCUCGCCUGGCCCCAAGCCUGUUGUCAUUCCGGUGGUGUUGCAAAACCUGGCUGUUUGCCCAGGCCUUUGGGGGUGGGGGUGGGUUAGGGUUGUGGGUGUUUUCGCCCAUAUCCUGUUUUAUUGUUUUAAUUUCCGGGGCCCUGUUUAAAUAUUUUUAUUGUUGAUUGUUUUUAAAUUGUUUUAUACUGUUUUUAUGGAUUUAUAUUGUUGGAAGCCACCCCGAGCUGAUUACAGGAGGGGCGGGAUACAAAUUAUAGAAAUAAAAAAUAAAAUAAAAUAAAAAUAAUCUUUAUUAUAUUUAAUAAACAGCUUUUUGGCACCCAUUGUUGGAGCUAUCACUGAAACUGACCUAACCGAAAAAUACUUGUGAGACACUGGGAAGAGGGUCCCGCAAUGCCAACAGGUCUUGUAGGCAUUGCAGUGCCAAGUAUGAAACCUGCUCGCACAUCUAGGGCAAUGUCCAGCAAUACAAGAAGCUAGAAUUAGAUGGCACAACAAAUUGUCUACUACAAUUGCCUGGGCCCUGCUCACCUGCGGGACCGCCUCAGGCCCCGGGUCAUAUUGUGGCCCCUGUGGUCUGCCAGGGACCUGUGACUCAAAGUCCACCCAGUUUCCCGGAUGGAGACGAUAGGGAGGGCAUUCUUGGUGGCCGCUCCCAGACUGUGGAAUUCCCUCCCGAUGAAGGCCCGCCUGGCCCCAGACCUCCCCUCUUUCUGAAGACAGUGUAAGACCUGGCUGUUCUGCUGGGCCUUUGGAGAGGGAGAUGGGUAGGGUAGGGUGGUCUAGACCGGAGGGGGUUGGUGCUGCCUUUUUAGUGUAUUUUUAGUAUAUUUUUAGUAUUUUUAAUGAAUUUUAAAUUGUGAAUUGUUGAUGGCGUAUGUGACCCGCCCCAAGCUGCUCUGUGAGCAGGAGGGUUGUGGGAUAAAAGAAAAUUGAAAUGAAAUAAAUAAGUAAAAAGAUGAAGCUAGAAAACUAAAGUGGGAGAUAUACGAUAAGACGCACCUGCACACAGAGUCAGGGGAACUGAGGAAAUAAGAUAUCAUCUUCAAAAAAGAUAAGACAGCAUUGGUGGUAGAGGUCACCAUAAGAUAUGAGUAUAAAGCAGACUACCUCCAGAAAGCAGUAUGGGAGAAGACAUCCUACUACAGUAACCUAACCAAGCAAAUAAAAGAUUUCACGCAAACAGAGAAGGUAGUAUUCUUUGGAUUUCCAGUGGGUGCCAGAUGUGAAUGACUCCCUGACAGUGACAAAUUACUAUUUGCACUUGGACUUGAAAAGAACAAAACUAAAAGAUUAGCGAAACUCUUCAGUCAAAGGAUACUCCUGUACUCUGAGAACAUGUUUGCCAAUAUAGGAAAAACACAGCAGGCAUGUUUUGUAAACUCUAACCUAUAAAGAUAUGCCAGGGACUCAGGCUAAAGGAGAACACUACAGAAAAAGACAGUUAAGAAUGUUAUAUAUAAAAGUUGUAAUAAGUUAAAAGAAAGUUAAUAUAAAAAAGCUGUAAGAUGUUAAUAAAAGUUUGUCUCUUUCUCACCCUAACACCCAUUCUGUACUAUCAUCUCUUUUCUGGGAAUCUCGUAAUGAUUACAAUAUUCAUGACAGUUGUCACCUGGACUCAUCCAGUAGAUCGAACGUGACAUUUUGGCUGCAGACAAGGCAUAGAUAGAUAAGGGUUGGACGGGCCACCCAUGGACCUCCCUGGUCCUGAGUAACUCAAAAAAGGCACCCCUUUGGGGCAUGUAAGUAAUUAGGCAAAUGCCUCAUCAUCUAAUUAGUGACAUGCAUGAAUGGAUGAACGAGAUUCCCACUGUCCCUACCUACUAUCUAGUGAAACCAUAGUCAAGGGAACAAACUUGAUGGAAUCAGCAGGGAAAGAAGACCCUGUUGAGCUUGACUCUAAUCUGGCACUGUGAAGAGACAUGAGCAGUGUAGAAUAAGUGGGAGGCCUGCCUGUGUUGCCAGUGAAAUACCACUACUCUUAUAGAUUUUUGCACUUAGGUGGUGAGACAGGGGGGGUGAGUCCCGAGGGGCUCUCACUUCUGGCUCCAAGCAGGCGCAUCUGCCAGGUGCAACCCGCUCCAUGGACAGUGUCAGGUGGGGAGUUUGACUGGGGUGGUACACCUGUCAAACCAUAACACAGGUGGCCUAAGGCGAGCUCAGGGAGGACAGAAACCUCCCGUGGAGCAGAAGGGCAAAAGCUCGCUUGAUCUUGAUUUUCAGUAUAAAUACAGACCAUUGAAACGGGGCCUCAUAAUCCUUCUGACUUCUUGAGUUUUAAGCUGGAGGUGUCAGAAACAUUACCACAGGGAUAACUGGUUUGUGGCGGCCAAGCGUUCAUAGCGACAUCGCUUUUUGAUCCUUCGAUGUCGGCUCUUCCUAUCAUUGUGAAGCAGAAUUCACCAAGCGUUGGAUUGUUCACCCACUAAUAGGGAACGUGAGCUGGGUUUAGACCGUCAUGAGACAGGUUAGUUUUACCCUACUGAUGAUGUGUAGUUGCAACAGUAAUCCUGCUCAGUACAAGAGGAACCACAGGUUCAGAUAUUUGGUGUAUGUGCUUGGCUGAGGAGCCAAUGGGACGAAGUUACCAUCUGUGGGAUUAUGACUGAACACCUCUUUACAAGGUGCGGGCACCUUGUAAAACUCACAUAAUCAAGGUUUUAAAGGCAGCAUCUCCAACCAAGUGCUAGUUUGCUGCGGCUGCUGUUUCAUAUGGCAGCCGUCUGACUUCCAGUAGCAGCAGAGGAACGUCUAAACCCCCCUGCACAUGUUUCUUUUCUUACAGAU